rnacentral:rRNA from 1 species
GACGAACGCUGGCGGCGUGCUUAACACAUGCAGGUCGAACGAUGAUCAGGAGCUUGCUCCUGUGAUUAGUGGCGAACGGGUGAGUAACGCGUGAGUAACCUGCCCCUGACUCUGGGAUAAGCGUUGGAAACGACGUCUAAUACUGGAUACGACUGCCGGCCGCAUGGUCUGGUGGUGGAAAGAUUUUUUGGUUGGGGAUGGACUCGCGGCCUAUCAGCUUGUUGGUGAGGUAAUGGCUCACCAAGGCGACGACGGGUAGCCGGCCUGAGAGGGUGACCGGCCACACUGGGACUGAGACACGGCCCAGACUCCUACGGGAGGCAGCAGUGGGGAAUAUUGCACAAUGGGCGAAAGCCUGAUGCAGCAACGCCGCGUGAGGGAUGACGGCCUUCGGGUUGUAAACCUCUUUUAGUAGGGAAGAAGCGAAAGUGACGGUACCUGCAGAAAAAGCACCGGCUAACUACGUGCCAGCCGCCGCCGUAA